rnacentral:rRNA from 1 species
GACGAACGCUGGCGGCGUGCUUAACACAUGCAAGUCGAACGGGCUCUGUCUGGCUGUGUGCUGGGUGGGGUUAGUGGCGAACGGGUGAGUAAUACGUGAGUAACCUGCCCUCUUCUUUGGGAUAAGCCUUGGAAACGGGGUCUAAUACUGGAUAUUCCUGUCUGGUCGCAUGGCUGGGUGGGGAAAGUUUUUUUCGGUGGGGGAUGGGCUCGCGGCCUAUCAGCUUGUUGGUGGGGUGAUGGCCUACCAAGGCGUCGACGGGUAGCCGGCCUGAGAGGGUGACCGGCCAGACUGGGACUGAGAUACGGCCCAGACUCCUACGGGGGGCAGCAGUGGGGGAUAUUGCACAAUGGGCGCAAGCCUGAUGCAGCGACGCCGCGUGGGGGAUGACGGCUUUCGGGUUGUAAACCUCUUUCGUCGGGGGACAAGGCUCUGCUUGGUGGUGGGGUUGAGGGUACCCGGUGAAGAAGCGCCGGCUAACUACGUG